GUCGCUCAUGGGAGGAAUGUGGUGUGCAGAGCGGCUUUCCUGCUCUUCCCAGAGUCGAAGCAGCAGCUGGAAGGCAAAAGAAUGCCAAAGAGAGCACUGUGGAAAACUGAAUCACAAGCAGCAUUAAAUGGAAAGAAAACCAAGGCAGCAAUCAAAAUAUUUUUAGAUUUUUCCUCCAGAAAACCCCAAAACUCCUCUUCUUCCCCAGCAGAUUAGAGACAAGGA